AUUGAACGCUGGCGGCAUGCCUUACACAUGCAAGUCGAACGGUAACGGGCCUUCGGGUGCCGACGAGUGGCGAACGGGUGAGUAAUGCAUCGGAACGUACCUUUCAGUGGGGGAUAACGUAGCGAAAGUUACGCUAAUACCGCAUAUUCUGUGAGCAGGAAAGCAGGGGAUCGCAAGACCUUGCGCUGAUUGAGCGGCCGAUGUCAGAUUAGCUAGUUGGUGAGGUAAAGGCUCACCAAGGCGACGAUCUGUAGCGGGUCUGAGAGGAUGAUCCGCCACACUGGAACUGAGACACGGUCCAGACUCCUACGGGAGGCAGCAGUGGGGAAUUUUGGACAAUGGGGGCAACCCUGAUCCAGCCAUGCCGCGUGAGUGAAGAAGGCCUUCGGGUUG
rnacentral:rRNA from 1 species